UGCGUAGGUGGUAUGGCAAGUCAGAAGUGAAAACCCAGGGCUUAACUCUGGGACUGCUUUUGAAACUGUCAGACUGGAGUGCAGGAGAGGUAAGCGGAAUUCCUAGUGUAGCGGUGAAAUGCGUAGAUAUUAGGAGGAACAUCAGUGGCGAAGGCGGCUUACUGGACUGAAACUGACACUGAGGCACGAAAGCGUGGGAGGCAAACA
rnacentral:rRNA from 1 species